rnacentral:rRNA from 1 species
ACACAUGCAAGUCGAACGAAGCGCUUAAAUGGAUUUCUUCGGAUUGAAGUUUUUGUGACUGAGUGGCGGACGGGUGAGUAACGCGUGGGUAACCUGCCUCAUACAGGGGGAUAACAGUUAGAAAUGACUGCUAAUACCGCAUAAGCGCACAGUGCUGCAUGGCACAGUGUGAAAAACUCCGGUGGUAUGAGAUGGACCCGCGUCUGAUUAGCUAGUUGGUGGGGUAACGGCCUACCAAGGCGACGAUCAGUAGCCGGCCUGAGAGGGUGAACGGCCACAUUGGGACUGAGACACGGCCCAAACUCCUACGGGAGGCAGCAGUGGGGAAUAUUGCACAAUGGGGGAAACCCUGAUGCAGCGACGCCGCGUGAGCGAAGAAGUAUUUCGGUAUGUAAAGCUCUAUCAGCAGGGAAGAAAAUGACGGUACCUGACUAAGAAGCACCGGCUAAAUACGUGCCAGCAGCCGCGGUAAUACGUAUGGUGCAAGCGUUAUCCGGAUUUACUGGGUGUAAAGGGAGCGUAGACGGUUGUGUAAGUCUGAUGUGAAAGCCCGGGGCUCAACCCCGGGACUGCAUUGGAAACUAUGUAACUAGAGUGUCGGAGAGGUAAGCGGAAUUCCUAGUGUAGCGGUGAAAUGCGUAGAUAUUAGGAGGACACCAGUGGCGAAGGCGGCUUACUGGACGA